UUACCUUUCCUAAAAUUACACACAUUUGCUUUAUGACCUAUAGUUCCACAACAAAAGCAGGUUAUUUUCUUAGUUUUAGUUUCUCCAGCUUUAACAAAGAAGUUACUAAGAAGUUUUUGUUUAUUUCUUGGUUUAUAUCCUAAACCCGCUUUAUUAAAUACUGCUCGUUGACUAUUGAGUAUCAUAUUUAACUUUUCAGAACUAUAUGUAAAUUUUUCAACUAAGGGUUUGUAUUU
rnacentral:lncRNA from 1 species